UACGUAUGGUGCAAGCGUUAUCCGGAUUUACUGGGUGUAAAGGGAGCGCAGGCGGUUUAUUAAGUCUGGUGUAAAAGGCAGUGGCUCAACCAUUGUAUGCAUUGGAAACUGGUAGACUUGAGUGCAGGAGAGGAGAGUGGAAUUCCAUGUGUAGCGGUGAAAUGCGUAGAUAUAUGGAGGAACACCGGUGGCGAAAGCGGCUCUCUGGCCUGUAACUGACACUGAGGCUCGAAAGCGUGGGGAGCAAACAGG
rnacentral:rRNA from 1 species